ACAAGCUACAUAGCCAUCUUCAAAAUGA
rnacentral:piRNA from 1 species